AACCCUAAAAAGUUCUAAAAGCAAAAAGGUUUGGUCCUAGCCUUACUAUCAGUUACCCCUCAACUUACACAUGCAAGUCUCAGCACCCCCGUGAGGAAGCCCUUAAACCCUUCACCAGGAUAAGGAGCCGGUAUCAGGCCCAAUUUUUGCCCAUGACACCUAGCCCCCGCCACGCCCCCAAGGGUUGUCAGCAGUGAUAAACAUUAUCCAUAAGCGAUAGCUUGACUUAGUUAGAGGGAAGAUAGUUGGCCAACUCGGUGCCAGCCGCCGCGGUUAGACCCACAAACUAAAAUUGAUAGUCAUCGGCGUUAAGCGUGAUUAUAGCUACUAUUGAAUUAGAGUAAAACUCCUUGCCCAGCUGUGAAAAGCAUGCAUUCCGGAAUCCUAUGAACGAAAGUCACUCUAACUAACGCUUGAACACACGACAGCUAAGAACACAAACUGGGAUUAGAGACCCCACUAUGCUUAGCCGUAAAUAUCAACUCACAACUAUAAACGCCAGGGAACUACGGGCUAGGCCUAAAACCCAAAGGACUUGACGGUGUCCCACCCAACUAGAGGAGCCUGUUCUGUAAUCGAUAACCCCCGCUAAACCUAACCUCUUCUUGCUUUUCAGCCUGUAUACCUCCGUCGUAAAUCCGCCCUGUGAAUGCCUAAUAGCGUGAUUCAAUUACCUUCCGUUAAUACGUCAGGUCAAGGUGCAGCCUAUGAAGAGGGGAGCAAUGGGCUACAAUUUCUAACUUAGAACAAACGAAUUACUAUAUGAAACUUAGCUAUGAAGGAGGAUUUAGUAGUAAAGAGAAAUUAACGUGUUCUCUUUAACAUGGCCCUGGGACGCGUACACACCGCCCGUCACCCUCUUCGAAAAUACUUAAUCAGUUUUCUAACCCGUGACAAUAAAUAGAGAGGA
rnacentral:ncRNA from 1 species